UACGUAGGGUGCGAGCGUUUGUCCGGAAUUACUGGGCGUAAAGAGCUCGUAGGUGGUUUGUCGCGUUGUUCGUGAAAACUCACAGCUUAACUGUGGGCGUGCGGGCGAUACGGGGCAGACUGGAGUACUGCAGGGGGAGACUGGAAUUCCUGGUGUAGCGGUGGAAGUGCGCAGAUAUCAGGAGGAACACCGAUGGCGAAGGCAGGUCUCUGGGCCGCAACUGACGCUGAGGAGCGAAAGCAUGGGGGAGCGAACAGG
rnacentral:rRNA from 1 species